UUCGUGGUGUAGUGGUCAGCACGCUCGACGCGUAACCGAGAGGUCCGUGGUUCAAUUCCCGGCGAA
rnacentral:tRNA from 1 species